GAUAACUUUCUUAGUAUUGCAAAAACUUUGGAAACAAAGACCUGAGGCUGAGACCAGGAAGUUGUUUAAUGAGCCGACCUUAUCAAUUUUGAGAAAAUGUGCAAAAGUAAUAUUUUAUCAAUUUAAAUUUUCAAUCGAAAUUAACAUUGAACCCUACCUUUCUGAAAUUUCCCUUGCAUAUAAUUUCGUGAAUCGUCAUUGUCAGGUUGUGGUGGCAUUAACAAGCAACGGCACACGGUGAAACGAAGAAGAAACGCAAGCAACUUGAAGAUCUUUAUAUCCUUUUUCCUGGUAACAUUGAACCCUACCUUUCUGCAAUUUCCCUUGCAUAUAAUUUCUGAUAUACACACAUACUUGGGUUUUUUUUUUCUCUGCUCAGUUGAAAAUAGGCAGGGACUUACCAAAAAAAAUUCCUGUAUUAUAACUCCAAAUUUCUUGUCACCCCUUUAUAUUUCCACGGUAACAAAACAAAUUAGUGGGUUUUGAUUCAUGCGUUUACCGUGCUAUUGCCGGUUGUAGGAGGCUUUAAGAUAUUUCAUUUGGUUUGUAAUUGUAUGAAUGUUAACAUUCCUGAAAAUUCCUCGGUGAACAAGUCAAAAGACGGGAUGCUAUUAGUUUCUGUUUAUAUGCAUUUUAGUUCCCUUUUCUUUUUAUUGAUUCUCAUUGAACAUAGUCUGCAGUUAUUUAUGUGUAGUCGGUGAUUGAUUGCUAAAGACUGGGUUUUAUUUUCUACAGAGAUUGAAGCUUAAUCAUAUAGAAAUGCUGCACAGAACUCGGCCUAUGGCUGCGGUCUUGUUGUUUAUUGUUUCUUCCAUCUGCACU
rnacentral:lncRNA from 1 species